rnacentral:rRNA from 1 species
UGCAGUCUGCAACUCGAGUGCAUGAAGCUGGAAUCGCUAGUAAUCGCGGAUCAGAAUGCCGCGGUGAAUACGUUCCCGGGUCUUGUACACACCGCCCGUCACCACCAUGGGAGCCGACAACGCCCGAAGUCAGUGACCUAACCGAGAGGGAGGAGCUGCCGAAGGCGGGGUUGGUAACUGGGGUGAAGUCGUAACAAGGUAGC